rnacentral:rRNA from 1 species
GCAGCGAAGCCGCGAGGCGGAGCAAAUCUCCAAAAAAAUGUCUCAGUUCAGAUUGCAGGCUGCAACUCGCCUGCAUGAAGUCGGAAUUGCUAGUAAUCGUAGGUCAGCAUACUACGGUGAAUACGUUCCCGGGCCUUGUACACACCGCCCGUCAAACCAUGAGAGUUGGCAACACCCGAAGUCGGUAGUCUAACCGCAAGGAGGACGCCGCCGAAGGUGGGGUCGAUGAUUAGGGUUAAGUCGUAACAAGGUACC